AUUGAACGCUGGCGGCAUGCUUUACACAUGCAAGUCGAACGGUAACAGGUCUUCGGAUGCUGACGAGUGGCGAACGGGUGAGUAAUGCAUCGGAACGUGCCCAGUCGUGGGGGAUAACGCAGCGAAAGCUGUGCUAAUACCGCAUACGAUCUAUGGAUGAAAGCGGGGGAUCGCAAGACCUCGCGCGAUUGGAGCGGCCGAUGUCAGAUUAGCUAGUUGGUGGGGUAAAGGCCCACCAAGGCGACGAUCUGUAGCUGGUCUGAGAGGACGACCAGCCACACUGGGACUGAGACACGGCCCAGACUCCUACGGGAGGCAGCAGUGGGGAAUAUUGGGCAAUGGAGGAAACUCUGACCCAGCGACGCCGCGUGCGGGAUGAAGGCC
rnacentral:rRNA from 1 species